rnacentral:rRNA from 1 species
UACGUAGGUGGCAAGCGUUAUCCGGAUUUAUCGGGUUUAAGGGGUGCGUAGGCGGCCUAUUAAGUCAGGGGUGAAAGACGGUGGCUCAACCAUCGCAGUGCCCUUGAUACUGAUGGGCUUGAUUACACUUGAGGUGGGCGGAAUGUGACAAGUAGCGGUGAAAUGCAUAGAUAUGUCACAGAACACCAAUUGCGAAGGCAGCUUACUAAGGUGUCAAUGACGCUGAGGCACGAAAGCGUGGGGAUCAAAC